AUUGAACGCUGGCGGCAGGCCUAACACAUGCAAGUCGAGCGAGCGGCGGACGGGUGAGUAAUGUAUGGGGACUGCCCGAUAGAGGGGGAUAACUACUGGAAACGGUAGCUAAUACCGCAUACUAUCGGAUAACCCAUCGGGGAUUAGCUAGUAGUUGAGGUAACGGCUCACCAAGGCAACGAUCCGUAGCUGGUUUGAGAGGACGAUCAGCCACACGGGGACUGAGACACGGCCCAGACUCCUACGGAGGCAGCAGUGGGGAAUUUUGGACAAUGGGGGAAACCCUGAUCCAGCCAUGCCGCGUGUAUGAUGAAGGCCUUCGGUUUGUAAAGUACUUUUGGCAGAGAAGCGGUAGCGGAAGAAUAAGCACCGGCUAACUACGUGCCAGCAGCCGCGGUAAUUG
rnacentral:rRNA from 1 species